GAUGAAGAACGUAGUGAAAUGCGAUACGUAAUGUGAAUUGCAGAAUUCAGUGAAUCAUCGAGUCUUUGAACGCACAUUGCGCCCCCUGGUAUUCCGGGGGGCAUGCCUGUCCGAGCGUCAUUGCUGCCCUCAAGCACGGCUUGUGUGUUGGGCCUCCGUCCUCCUCCCGGGGGACGGGCCCGAAAGGCAGCGGCGGCACCGCGUCCGGUCCUCGAGCGUAUGGGGCUUCGUCACCCGCUCUUGUAGGCCCGGCCGGCGCUUGCCGACACAUCAAUCUUUUUUCCAGGUUGACCUCGGAUCAGGUAGGGAUACCCGCUGAACUUAAGCAUAUCAAUAAGCGGAGGA
rnacentral:misc_RNA from 1 species